rnacentral:rRNA from 1 species
UACGUAGGCAGCGAGCGGUGUUCGGGAUUACUGGGCGUAAAGCGUGCGUCGGCGGUCGGCUAAGUUUGGUGUGAAAUCUCCCGGCUCAACCGGGAGGGUGCGCCGAAAACUGGCCGGCUAGAGUGCGGGAGAGGGAAGUGGAAUUCCUGGUGUAGCGGUGAAAUGCGUAGAUAUCAGGAGGAACACCGGUGGUGAAGACGGCUUCCUGGACCGUGACUGACGCUGAGACACGAAAGCGUGGGGAGCAAACAGG